GGCCCACUAUGGAGUUGUGUCUUGGCCAAAAAUAUUGUGGCCUUGCUAGCACACUCAUGUGGGCCGAGA
rnacentral:snoRNA from 1 species